rfam:Flavobacterium hibernum strain DSM 12611 Contig05, whole genome shotgun sequence.
UCCUAGCCCCGAUGGGAACGGCAUCCUUUUGUUGCUUUCUUUAAGCAAUAAAAGAUAGAGUGUACAGCAGGAAAUAGC